rnacentral:tRNA from 1 species
GGCCUCGUAGCUCCGCUGGUAGAGCAUGCGCGUACAAAGCGUAGGCGGUGUCCAUGCGUGGGUUCGAAUCCCACCGAGGCUA